CUCGAACUCCCGACCUCAGGUGAUACGCCCACCUCAACCUCCCAAAGUGCUGGGAUUAUAGGAGUGAGCCACCGCACCUGGCAGGGGCUCUGUUUAUUUUUCUUCAUUCUUUUUUCUUUCUAUGUUUCAGACUAGAUAAUCUCAACUGACAUAUAUUCAAGUGCAUUGAUUUUUUUUCUGUCUGCUCAAAUCUGCUGUUGAGGCCUUCUGAUGGAAUUUUCUUCUUAAGUUCUAUUGG
rnacentral:lncRNA from 1 species